UACGAAGGGGGCUAGCGUUGCUCGGAAUCACUGGGCGUAAAGCGCACGUAGGCGGGUCGUUAAGUCGGGGGUGAAAUCCUGGAGCUCAACUCCAGAACUGCCUUCGAUACUGGCGACCUUGAGUCCGGGAGAGGUGAGUGGAACUCCGAGUGUAGAGGUGAAAUUCGUAGAUAUUCGGAAGAACACCAGUGGCGAAGGCGGCUCACUGGCCCGGUACUGACGCUGAGGUGCGAAAGCGUGGGGAGCGAACAGG
rnacentral:rRNA from 1 species